rnacentral:rRNA from 1 species
GAUGAACGCUAGCGGCAGGCCUAACACAUGCAAGUCGAGGGGGAAGUUACUUUCGGGUGACUGAGACCGGCGUACGGGUGCGUAACGCGUAUACAAUCUGCCUUUCACUGGGGGAUAGCCCGAAGAAAUUUGGAUUAAUACCCCAUAGUAUAUAGGGACGGCAUCGUUUUUAUAUUAAAGCUUAGGUGGUGAAAGAUGAGUAUGCGUUCUAUUAGCUAGUUGGAGAGGUAACGGCUCCCCAAGGCGAUGAUAGAUAGGGGUUCUGAGAGGGAUGUCCCCCACACUGGUACUGAGAUACGGACCAGACUCCUACGGGAGGCAGCAGUGAGGAAUAUUGGACAAUGGUCGGAAGACUGAUCCAGCCAUGCCGCGUGCAGGAUGAAGGUCUUAUGGAUUGUAAACUGCUUUUGGAAGGGAAGAAUAAGGGCUACGCGUAGUUUGAUGACGGUACCUUACGAAUAAGCAUCGGCUAACUCCGUG